rnacentral:rRNA from 1 species
AUUGAACGCUGGCGGCAGGCCUAACACAUGCAAGUCGAACGGUAACAGGAAGCAGCUUGCUGCUUCGCUGACGAGUGGCGGACGGGUGAGUCAUGUCUGGGAAGCUGCCUGAUGGAGGGGGAUAACUACUGGAAACGGUAGCUAAUACCGCAUAAUGUCGCAAGACCAAAGAGGGGGACCUUCGGGCCUCUUGCCAUCGGAUGUGCCCAGAUGGGAUUAGCUUGUUGGUGGGGUAACGGCUCACCAAGGCGACGAUCCCUAGCUGGUCUGAGAGGAUGACCAGCCACACUGGGACUGAGACACGGUCCAGACUCCUACGGGAGGCAGCAGUGGGGAAUAUUGCACAAAGGGCGCAAGCCUGAUGCAGCCAUGCCGCGUGUAUGAAGAAGGCCUUCGGGUUGUAAAGUACUUUCAGCGGGGAGGAAGGGAGUAAAGUUAAUACCUGUGCUCAUUGACGUUACCCGCAGAAGAAGCACCGGCUAACUCCGUG